rnacentral:rRNA from 1 species
GAUGAACGCUGGCGGCGUGCCUAAUACAUGCAAGUCGAGCGAACAGAUGAGGAGCUUGCUCCUCCGACGUUAGCGGCGGACGGGUGAGUAACAUGUGGAUAACCUACCUAUAAGACUGGGAUAACUUCGGGAAACCGGCGCUAAUACCGGAUAAUAUAUUGACCCGCAUGGUUCAAUAGUGAAAGACGGUUUUGCUGUCACUUAUAGCUGGAUCCGCCCCGCAUUAGUUAGUUGGUAAGGUAAAGGCUUACCCAGGCAACGAUGCGUAGCCGACCUGAGAGGGUGAUCGGCCACACUGGAACUGAGGCACGGUCCAGACUCCUACGGGAGGCAGCAGUAGGGAAUCUUCCGCGAUGGGCGAGAGCCUGACGGUACAACGCCGCGGGAGUGAUGAAGUUCUUCGGAUCGUAAAGCGCUGUUAUUAGUGAAGAACAAAUGUGUAAGUAGCUAUGCACGUCUUGACGGUACCUAAUCAGAAAGCCACGGCUAACUACGUG